UGAAGUGGUGCUGUGUAUUUGGAUGGUUGCUGGGUGUCAGCUGCAUGCUCCAUUGGAAGUCAGGUCUCUAAAUCGCCAUGUAGUAGCGUUCCCGGUAUAUUGUCUGGGUGAAACAGGCUCUUCAGGUAUAAGCACAAAACAUUUGCAGGUUUGAGUCAGUGUUUUCCGAGGCUUGGCCAGUGUCAUCUUGUUUCCCUCACGGCCUUCGUGAGCAAAGAUGGUUCUUUCAGUUGAGGUGUUCGGGUAGGCAAGGCUUCCCCGGUACCACGUUGAGAACUGAAAUUACUGGCUGUGUUUCAUGGGUCCUGGGACAUCCCAGGGGCACCUCCAGGUGGUGAAGGAACCACUGCAGACAGGACUCGGCCAGGCCAGCAAGCAGGGAAGGCCCAGAAGGCGGCAAACUUGGCACGGAGCAGGCCUGCCAACCGUCUGGAGUGCCGACCAGACUUGUGAUUUGGCUCGUCACAGUCAGGCUGCUCUUUGGCUGCUCCCUCGUGUGGCACGAGGCCAGGGGCCGCACAGCACGCGGACUCCACCACCCAGGGAACCCGGGGGUGGAACAUGAGUGGGCGUCUUGAUGGAUUUGGGUGCAUAUCCUCCCAAACUUUUAUCCUCGCCAUGCUGAAUAUAUACGUGUAUGCAUGUGUGUGCACAAAAGGAUAUAUUUAACACAAAGAGGUGAUGUCUGUAUUGUUUUGUGCUGCCUUUUAAAAAUUAGUAGUAUGUGUGGAGUCUCUUUCUCACAUCAUUAGAUGUUCUUCCUUAACAUCAGUUGUGUGGCUGUGAGGAAGUCCCAUCGUCCGGGUAGGCCCAGCUUAUACAAGUCCCCUGUUGCAUGGACGUUUACUUAGGUUAUUUUCAACCUUUUGCUUCUUAGUAACAACAGGACGGUGAACAUCCCAGUCCAUGCUCUUUUGCCCAUUUUUCUGGUUGCUUCCUUUCAAGUACUAGCUCAUAAGUACGUUUCCUGUGUAUGUACAUGUCUCCUCCUUUGAUAUGUCCUACCUGGAAUAAUUUUCUUUCACAGUAAAGGUUUUUGGGUUUUUGUUUUGUUUUGUUUUGUUUUUGAUGAAAUUUCUUGCAUCUUGGUCGACAGUGUCUUCAGCCUCUGUAUUAUUCAGGAUUUGCUCUAGUUAGUUUAGGCAGAAGAAGAUUUAAUGCAGGAAAUUCAGGGGGGACAGAAUUAUUAGAAGCUUGGCCUUUGGCCAGCCCGGCAGGAGUGACCCCCAGAGCCACACUACAGAGCUGGCCGGCCGGGAGCCUGACCUGUUCUGCGGAGGGUCCCUCCACCUGCGCAGUGUCCAUCCAGUGAGCUGGGAAGAGGCUCUGGGACCUACCCCCCCACACACACACACACACAUACACACAGGAAAACCUGCACUACACAGCAGUAGUGUCUGUUAGCAGAGAUGCACAGGAAAGUCCUCUACGUGGGGAGCCUGGCAGGGAGGGAGCCACGGAAUGUGAAUAGAAUCUCCGCCUUUAUGUAUCUUUCUAAUGUUGCCCUUUUAGUGUUGUACUGGAUGCAGGCAGAGGUGAGGUUCACAGAAUGUAGCCACAGGUACAGAGGGCCUGGUCCCUGUCUCACAGAACCAGUAAUUCUGCUCUCAGAGAAGGCCCACUGUCUUUCAUGGGUGAGGUUUUCAUUUCAGUCCCCUUGGACAUCAUGUCCAAGGCCCCUUCCUGCUCUCUCUUGGAAACCAGAUUAGAAGCUUCCCCAGCCUGAGCUUUGCUCAGAAUAGGUAGCAAAACAACAUGAAGCCACAUACAAAUGGUUCCCGCAUACUUGCCUUGUCUAUAGACCAUGUAUUUAUUUGAAAAUCAGAUCCCCAGAGACCAGCCUCAGUAGGAAGGGUGUGGGUUGUCUGGUUGUUUUCUCUCAGUACUGGAGACCCUUUGCUCUCUCUGCUCCUUUCUUGGCAGUGCUAUGUGAAUGCUGAACACCCCUCCGUUCUUAGGCAGGGGGAGGAAGCAUGAGUUAACAUACCACCAAGUGGAGAGCUAGUUUUUUUUUUUUUUUUAUGAGCCGUAAUUGAUUAGCAGUCAAUUUAUAAACUUUCUCCUUGCCUCUUCAAACAGGCUUUUUUUUUUUUUGCAUAAUUACUAUGAAUUCAGGUGUUUGUAUAGUGCCAAGGUCCCCCUCUGAGCGAAUUACUGUAUUUUCAGUUGUUCAAGAAAAGCAUUGCUGAGGGACGCUUCCAGGAAAGACUUUAACAAGUCUUUAAAGCCCAUUGGGUGGGCCACGGUGUUCUGGUGACUCUGGGGGUGGGGAGUGGCCACAGACCUGACGGCGCACAUCUUUCUGACCCUAAACAGGCCCUCUCUCACUUACAGUAAUGUUACCCCUUCGGAGACGGACUAUUUAAAGUAACCUGCUGGCCCCUAAUGUGAAGCCCCAAGGUGGAUGCUGGGGUGACGAGAGAAGAGCCCAGCGCCCUCUAACUCACGGUGGGAUGUGAUAGCCCUUGGGACUGGUCUUUGGAGGGCCCAGCAGGUCAUGUUUUAGAAACCCAUUAAAAAAAUCCAUAUCUUUUGAAAAAGAGAAAGUAAUAGUGAUUUGAUAUAUCCCAAGUGAUUCACCUGGGAUUUCUAUAGCACCUUCCUUCUAGGAAUUAAAAAUAGGACUUGACUUAUAUAUAAUGCUAUUUUUCUUUCUUUUUCUUUUGGGGGGGUGUACCCUGAUUGUAUAUUAUGAAGUAAACCAGAAUAUUUUUACCAGCAACAGAUGUUUUUCUUUCAGUCCUUCUAACCAUAUAAAAUGUUUUGGGGGGGGCAUAUAAACACUGGAUGAUCCAGGCUGCCUGUUGCAUAAUCCCACGCACCCCUCCACCCCGCCACCAGUUUUGUGCUUUAAAGUAAUAAAGUGUCAGUAUGUGUGUGAUUAGAAGAGUCUCUUUCCAGCCCAAAGAGUUGGUGAUGUCAGAGCCAGUCACUGUAUUUACUGCCUGUUGAACUCUGGGCACCAUUUUGGGUGUUUCACUUUCUUUCACUGAAAACUUUCCGUCACCGUGUGCAUCUUAUAAAUAAGGAAACCGAGGCCCAGAGAAGUGAAUUAACUUGGCUGAGGUCUCCCAGCUAGUGAGUGAAAGAGCUGUGAACCCAGCUUCACCUCCCACCCCCAUUUCUCUCAGGAGAGGAUUUCCCCUUGAAAACAACCCAGGCACUUACCCUUCUGCUUGUACAAGCACUGUGUGGUUGUUGGCUCUAUCCCUAUUACUAGUUAGUGUACACGCCCAGGUGCUGUCAUGAUUGCUCCACCCCUCACUGUUCUUAUCCUCAUUUUACAGAGGAACAAACUGAGGUACAGAGAGAUUAUAGGACUUAAUCAUCAGUACACAGUGGAGCAGGGAUUUGAAUCCUGUGUCCUUUCCUUGUUGCCUUGUUUUUAACCUGUUGUGAACUAUUAACUUGGCAAUGGCUGGGAAGCGUCUUUAUAACUCCCCCAGGGUUUUACUUAUUGGGAGUGAACAUUCUUGGCAAAUUAUUCCCUUGGGUGUGCACAGGGCCUGGGGCAUGGGAAGGGCUCCUUAUGGUCCACUUCCCCCUGAGCCCAUCGCCCUACAUCCCACACACUUCCCCCUGAGCCCAUCUCCCUACAUCCCACACACAACUGGAGUCUACUUGGAGACCCUUCUUCCUCCUGCCUCUCCCGGCCAGCCUGAGCAGCUUUUGCAGGAAAGGAGAGGAGGGGAAAGUCACAGGUGGAGGAGGUAGGCAGAAGGGCACAGGCUGGGGGCUGGGCUGACCACACCCUGACAGGUCCCUGGCUGGGUGACCUUGAGGAUGGCCUUAGUCUCACUUUUCCUCCUGUGCACACUGGGAGACUGAGAGACGUGCGUCCCAGGGUUGUUGGGAGAAGCAAAGGUAAUAAUAGUUCAUGUGGAAAUGGCAGAUAUGCUGCAACCAGUAUAUAAGAGUGAGUUAGAAAUGGCAUUUUAUUAUAAUUAAGCCUUAUUAUAAUUUAGCCAUUUUUAUUAAUACAUUUCUAGUCAGAAUAAGGUCUAGUGACUGGGGGUUCUGGGCACAAAGCCUGCCCCUCCCAUUCCCAGUCAUGUGGUCUCUCAGUGCCUCUGAUCCCCAUCUAGAACAUGGGGAUGGGACUAGUACCCAUAUCAGAGGGUGAUUGUGUGGGCUGGCUGGAGUGCCUGGCCCAGGGUAAGCACAUACUUAGCUCCAGUUGGUUAAGUACUUGUUCACCUGAAGGAAUAAAACCUAAAUGGCUGCCAUUGAUGUGGAGAACACAGGCAAAAGAAAUGCAGGAAAAAAAUUAAAGUUCCUUACAACUUACAGCCCAUUGACAAGUCCUUGAGACAGGCAGAGUGACCUUCUCCAGGAAAUCAGCUGCCUUGAUGUUAAUACUUUGCUAGAGACAAAAGGCAGCCUUUGCUUGAUGUGAGCCUGACGCCCAGGAUCCUGUGAGUCUACUUUAACAUGUGAAAAUCCCUUUGGAAAUUUCCUUUAUCUCUACCACCCCCACCCCCAAGACAUAUGUUAGCAGUCAUCCUCCAAGCCUAUGGCCCAUGAUACAUAUCUGAACGGCCUCAGGACUAAGGGUUUACUAGAUGGUAGUAAAUGACCCUUUCCUAACAAUAGCUAGUCUCCUCAAGGUCCUGGAAAUCUUGCUUCCAAAUUCCUUAGAGACUUAGGCUCUUCCUUACCGCCUCCCAACUUGAAAGGAUAUAAAGGGACUCUCCUCGUGACCCCCAGGCAACUCUUUCUGCUCACAGGUCCUGUCCCCGUGCUUUAAUAAAACCGUUAUACACCAAAGAUGUCGCAAGAAUUCUUUCUCUGAACUCCAACAUUUCACAUCAUCACUGUGUCUGAGAAUAAAAACUGAAGUGGUGCAGUGAGAGAUAAUGGAUUGGAGCCCCUGUUGGCUGAGCACGUACUAUAUUCCAGGCACUAGUAGACAUUUAAGGAAUAUAUUAUCCCACCGAUUCUGGGAAUAACCUUUAAAAGUAGAAAUGAUUAUCCCCAUUUUGAGGUGAGGAAACUGAAGCUCAGAGAGGUGAAGGUGGCUUGUACCUGUCCGAGAAGACCGGGGGGUGGGGGGUGGGUUGUGUCCUGAGUCUGGCGCCGUGGGGCCAUCCUAAGUGAACUGUUCACCAUGUACCAGCAUGAUUAGCUGCAGGAGCAGGUACUUCUCAAACAUCAUCUGUUCUUGUUUCUCCUCCUUUCCCAAAUAAACACCUCUGUUGGGACAUCCAGUUGACAUCUCACCAGUUCUUUGCUCUUCUGAUGGACAUAGUGUCUUUGGUACAAAGGUGCUGUUUAAGCCCUUCACAGCCGACCAAACUGGAAUCCCCAUCUGAAGUCACAUCAGUGAGCAGUGUCCAGAAUGGCCUGCCUUUUCUUUUUUCUUUCUUUUCUUUUUCUUCUUCUUUUUUUUUUAUGGCAUGUGGUUUCUUACAGGCUGUAGAUUCACCCUGAAAGCCAGACUGACUGAUCUUUCUGAGAAUGAACAAUUUGGGAAACCUCUCACAUUACAGUAACUAUAUUUUCAUGGGCCAUCAAUGAGGGAAAUAUAUGUAAACAAAAACACACUGAAUGUUGAAGCUCAUCUAGAUAAUUUUAGAUAAUACUGCAUCUACAUGUAUUAGGGAAAAAAUAACCUGUAUAUGUAUGUGAUGUAAUAUUGAUGCUCUUUCCAGAUAAUGCAUGUAGAUCAGAGAUUCACACGUAAAGAAACUAAGGAUAUAUGUUUGGCGAUUGCAUAUUUGUAACCUUUAAAAAAAAAAGUCGGGAUCCCUGGGUGGCGCAGCGGUUUGGCGCCUGCCUUUGGCCCAGGGCGCGAUCCUGGAGACCCGGGAUCGAAUCCCACAUCGGGCUCCCGGUGCAUGGAGCCUGCUUCUCCCUCUGCCUGUGUCUCUGCCUCUCUCUCUCUGUGACUAUCAUAAAUAAAUAAAAAUUAAAAAAAAAAAAAA
rnacentral:lncRNA from 1 species